rnacentral:tRNA from 1 species
UAUAGCUCAGUGGUAGAGCAUGUGCUUAGCAUGCAUGAGGUCCUGGGUUCAAUCCCCAUUA